UCUAUAAAUUACUACAAGACUACAAUAUUCCAACAUCAAAAUUUGAUCUAAUCAGUGAUCAACAAUUAGAUAUUGAAGUGUCACAAAUAAAAACUGAACACCCAAAUGUUGGUGAAGUGAUGCUCAUGGCGCAUCUGUAUGAAGGUUCACUGCCAGACCUCCAGUGGAGACCAUCUUUGAGAGAGGCAUGGCCACCUGCUUGGCCUACGGACAGACAGGAAGCGGAAAAACACACACUAUGGGUGGAGAUUUCUCUGGAAAGAACCAAGACUGCUGGAAAGGAAUUUAUGCAUUAGCUGGAUGUAUUUGUCAUUUUGAAGAAACCCAAUUACAAGAAUUUAGAUCGACAAGUGUAUGCAGCCUUCUUUCAAAUCUACAAUGAAAAGG